GACGAACGCUGGCGGCGUGCUUAACACAUGCAAGUCGAACGGAAAGGCCCUGCUUUUGUGGGGUGCUCGAGUGGCGAACGGGUGAGUAACACGUGAGUAACCUGCCCUUGACUUUGGGAUAACUUCAGGAAACUGGGGCUAAUACCGGAUAGGAGCUCCUGCUGCAUGGUGGGGGUUGGAAAGUUUCGGCGGUUGGGGAUGGACUCGCGGCUUAUCAGCUUGUUGGUGGGGUAGUGGCUUACCAAGGCUUUGACGGGUAGCCGGCCUGAGAGGGUGACCGGCCACAGUGGGACGGAGAUACGGCCCAGACGCAUACGGGAGGCAGCAGGGGGGAAUAUGGCACAAUGGGCGGAAGCCUGAUGCAGCAACGCCGCGUGCGGGAUGACGGCCUUCGGGUUGUAAACCGCUUUCGCCUGUGACGAAGCGUGAGUGACGGUAAUGGGUAAAGAAGCACCGGCUAACUACGUG
rnacentral:rRNA from 1 species